rnacentral:rRNA from 1 species
CGUAACAAGGUCUCCGUAGGUGAACCUGCGGAGGGAUCAUUACACAAAUAUGAAGGCGGGCUGGAACCUCUCGGGGUUACAGCCUUGCUGAAUUAUUCACCCUUGUCUUUUGCGUACUUCUUGUUUCCUUGGUGGGUUCGCCCACCACUAGGACAAACAUAAACCUUUUGUAAUUGCAAUCAGCGUCAGUAACAAAUUAAUAAUUACAACUUUCAACAACGGAUCUCUUGGUUCUGGCAUCGAUGAAGAACGCAGCGAAAUGCGAUAAGUAGUGUGAAUUGCAGAAUUCAGUGAAUCAUCGAAUCUUUGAACGCACAUUGCGCCCUUUGGUAUUCCAAAGGGCAUGCCUGUUCGAGCGUCAUUUGUACCCUCAAGCUUUGCUUGGUGUUGGGCGUCUUGUCUCUAGCUUUGCUGGAGACUCGCCUUAAAGCAAUUGGCAGCCGGCCUACUGGUUUCGGAGCGCAGCACAAGUCGCACUCUCUAUCAGCAAAGGUCUAGCAUCCAUUAAGCCUUUUUUUCAACUUUUGACCUCGGAUCAGGUAGGGAUACCCGCUGAACUUAAGCAUAUCA